rnacentral:tRNA from 1 species
GGGGGUAUAGCUCAGUGGUAGAGUGUAUGCAUGAGGUCCUGGGUUCAAUCUCCAGUACUUCCA